rnacentral:piRNA from 2 species
UGGAUUUAUUUACAGUUUGGA